CGUGUAGGCGGCCAUUUAAGUCAGACGUGAAAGCCCAAGGCUUAACCAUGGGACUGCGUUUGAAACUGGAUGGCUUGAGGAUCGGAGAGGGCAGUGGAAUUCCCAGUGUAGCGGUGAAAUGCGUAGAUAUUGGGAGGAACACCAGUGGCGAAGGCGACUGCCUGGACGACACCUGACGCUGAGGCGCGAAAGCCAGGGGAGCAAACGGGAUUAGAUACCCCGGUAGUCCUGGCCGUAAACGAUGGGUACUAGGUGUGGGAGGUAUCGACCCCUUCCGUGCCGCAGUUAACACAAUAAGUACCCCGCCUGGGGAGUACGGCCGCAAGGUUGAA
rnacentral:rRNA from 1 species